UUGCUUUAAAAGGAGGACAGGAUUAUCACCACACGAUUAACACAAACACUGGAGAACUUCUGACACAAAUUCAGUAUUUCUUCUAAGUCUGCAUUUACAAAAGGUCUUUUAUUUUAAUUUCUUUCACAACUGCCCCACCCCCACCAAAGCCUCACUUUCAUUUCCUCACAGCUUUAAAAAAUAAAAUAUCGUGCCUCAGCCCGAGGUAACACCAAGUGCAGGCAGGCUGUGUUUGGGAAUUUGCACCUGCACUCACUGGUAUUUUCAACGAGAGGGGGAUGACCAGGUGGCAGCGCUGGAUUCACUCACUGUCUUGCCAUUGCAGAGACCCCUGCUGCCAGGCUCCUUUCCUCCCCUCCCUAAAGCCUGGCUCCUGUAUCUUGCACCAUGAGUCCUAGGAAUCAUCUGGUGGGGUAAGACUAAUGGGAAGUAAAAGGGAGACUCAUUGGCUUAGGGUGGUUCUCAAACUUGAUGUACUUUAGAAUCAUUUGCUGAGUCCCUCCCUGACAGCUUCUGACUUCACCAAGUCUGGGAGGGGGCUGAGAAUCUGCAUUCUAAUAAGGUCCCCAAUGAUGCUGAUGCUAUUGGUCUAGGGGCCACACUUUGAGAACCACUGGAUUAGAGGCAUGAAUCAAGCUCUAGAAAGCAGUCAGUUCCAGGGUAACAGUCUUAGAUGCUCUCCGAAGCACUGAGGAAUCUUACCACAACCCUGUGUCACCCACCACAAGCCCUGUCACCAUCACCCAUCUGGGUGCUUUUCUCAACAGGGUCUGUAACUGUAAAAAAGGAAAGUGGGUGGAGAGCUUUUUUUUCCCCUUUUUUCUUGUUUCUAACCUCCCAGCUGAUUCCUGGAGAGUUAAAACAUGGUUACUAGCACUAAAAACAUUAAAAGUGCUGUGCGCUGGCCUCAAUGACUGGUGCAUGGGAGAAGCUCUGCAGCAGUAUCCUUUUCUGUGGUGGGCAGGGCAGGAGAUGAACCAUAGGAGCCAAAAGUCAGACAAACAGAAGGAGGCAGACCAAGCCUGAACCCUCCAGACAACAGCAGAGGUACCAGCUGAGGGAUGUCCCUGGAGGUUUCUGACCCACGAGAGGCCCCCUCACCCUCCUUCACCCUCCUCCUACCAGCAAGCUCUCCGGCAGUCAUGGACUUAUUCCUUCCCAUUUUUUGCUGGACACCAUGUUUCAGGCCACUCUGGUCACCCGUAGCCUGGUGGCAUCUCUACCCCUACUGUCCAGUAGGUGGGAUGUGGCUGGGAUGGACAGUCCAGAUUCUACUAACAGGCAACUCUGAACAAACACCCUCCCUGGAAACAAUAUUAUAUUUGAUGGUUAGAUUCUUUAGCAAACCUAUUACAUUAUUCGAUUUCAGCUAACCUAUGGGUUUGAUCAUCUUUUCCAGCUGCUCUAGGGGCCUAACCACCAUGGAUAACGUGGUCUCUAAAGGAAAAUACAUUCCAGGUUGCAAACAACCAACUGACAACCUUUUGGAAUAUGAUCUCCUUAUACACUGGGGCUGCCUGUGCCUAAACAGAGUAGAUUUCCCUCCUGUGCGUAUUUCAUCAGCCCCACUUCCAAUAAGUAACAUUAAGUAAAUUAGGGAUUGACAGUAUUCUGUAUUACAAUAACUAGAGAACAGUUCUAAAUCCAAAGUGUGAAACUGGCACUGUUCACUAGAAUAGAGAUCCUACCUAUCAAAGGAAAACGUGCUGCUCCCCAUGCCUAGGGUAUAAUAUUCUUUAAUCUACUAAUUUAGCAGAAAAACUUCCAUAGCACUUGACUGUGCUGUUUAAGUUUGACCUAACAUCUGUGAUACAUGUAUUUUUGGCUACCAAUUAACUAUUCUGAAUAAGAAUAAGAGCAGUAUACUUUACAGCUAAUCCCACACAAAGGAUGUAACUUAUCAGUGAUAUUUGACAAAUUAUGGUAGGGUCUAUUAUAUUCAGUCAACAACAAAUUUAGAUAAACACACAAAGGUUUUUAAAAAUAUGUGUGGUAUCACACAGAUCAACAACACUGUGCCUCCUCUAAAUAAAUCUAUUUUAAAUAAAUAUUCCUUGUAUUGACACGUGAAACCCAGAGGCCCAAAAAUAUCACUACACAUCCCAGUUAAUGAUAAGGUUCUAAACUGACUUUGUGAGUGUAAAAUGAAUUGCUAUAAAGUAACGAGGAAAAUAGAAAGUAGCAUAAUAUAGCUUACAAACUAAAUUAUGUAUUUUUAAAGGUAAGGUCAUCCCACUACCUGGCUAUUUCAUUACUUGGUGCUCUAGACAAGCUCCCAAGAACCGACUGAAUCUUGGCUUCUUCUGUUUCUGUCGUUGCUAAUAUGGAAAACAUUGCUGAAAAGGACAGAGAUGGCCAUGGAUAUGGCUAGGUUAGGUAUUCAUAUCCAAAUAUCUGAACUCUAACCUAAUGUGGAUAUGAUUCUGUAGCAUUAUAUUAAAGGCUAUGAUGAUGCAAUGCAGGAAAUAACCUUUCAUUCUCCCCCCAAGAGGAUCACGACAGGUGCUUCAAUGCCUGCCUUACCUAUGGGACAUUAGUGUGAUUCUCAGUGAGAGUGAAGGCCUUUGGGGAUUUGAGUCAGGAAGGGAACAUGGCUAAGUGCCUGGAAACUCUGCCAACAGUCUGCAGUUAGAUUCUAUUUAUCUCUGGAUAAGAAAUCUGUGCUCAAUGAACUUAUGUGUUUGGAAAAUUCAACCAGAAUAUAGAGGAAACAUAAGUCCUGUUUCAAGAGACCAGCUCACGGAGCAUGCACAUUUCUCACCAUAGGCAAGCUAUGGACAAUUCAAUCACAGGGGAUGGCCCAACUUAGGGGAAUGCAGUUCUGGGUUUCCUUGCUAUCCCUAUUCCUUUUUCAGCUACAAACUCUCUUCUUUUUCAUUCUCUUCAGUUUCCUCGUGCUCCCUUUAGGAGAGGGACUAGGGUAAGAGUACCAGGCAACUCUGUCCUCCUGCAUGGACAGUUGAGAUGGGCAGUAAUGGCACAGUCCUUGGUUGGGGGAGAGAAGAGGAGACAGCACAGACACUGAGACCCCCUUGUCUUUCUCAUC
ensembl:lncRNA